rnacentral:rRNA from 1 species
UCCGGUUGAUCCCGCCGGAGGCUACUGCUAUUGGAAUUCGACUAAGCCAUGCGAGUCAAGGUGUCUUCGGACGCCGGCAAACGGCUCAGUAACACGUAGGUAAUCUACCCUCAGGACUGAGAUAACCCCGGGAAACUGGGGCUAAUACCAGAUAGAUAAAAGAUACUGGAAUGUUCUUUUAUCCAAAGCUUUUGUGCCUGAGGAUGAGCCUGCGCCCGAUUAGGUAGUUGGUGGGGUAAUGGCCCACCAAGCCUGCGAUCGGUACGGGCAGUGGGAGCUGUAGCCCGGAGUUGGGGACUGAGACAAGGCCCCAGGCCCUACGGGGCGCAGCAGGCGCGAAACCUCUGCAAUGCGGGAAACCGUGACAGGGGGAUUCCAAGUGCUCAUGCAUUGCAUGGGCUGUUCUUUGGUCUAAGUAACCAGAGGAGUAAGGGCUGGGCAAGACCGGUGCCAGCCGCCGCGGUAAUACCGGCAGCUCGAGUGGUAGCCGCGAUUAUUGGGCCUAAAACGUUCGUAGCCGGAUAAGUAAGUCUUUGGUUAAAUCCUACGACUUAACCGUGGGAAAUCUAGAGAUACUGCUUGUCUUGAGACCGGGAGAGGUUGGAGGUACUCCCAGGGUAGGGGUGAAAUCCUGUAAUCCUGGGGGGACCACCUGUGGCGAAGGCGUCCAACUGGAACGGCUCUGACGGUGAGGGACGAAACCUAGGGGAGCGAGCCGGAUUAGAUACCCGGGUAGUCCUAGGCGUAAAUGAUGCGAGUUAAGUGUGGGGGCAUCUACGAGAUGGCCCUGUGCUGUAGGGUAGCCGUUAAACUCGCUGCCUGGGGAGUACGGUCGCAAGGCUGAAACUUAAAGGAAUUGGCGGGGGAGCACCACAAGAGGUGGAGGCUGCGGUUCAAUUGGAUUCAACGCCGGG